rnacentral:tRNA from 1 species
GAGGCGCUAGCUCAGCUGGUAGAGCAUUUCCCUUUUAAGGAAAGGGUCCCGGGUUCGAGCCCCGGGCGCCUCACCA